rnacentral:rRNA from 1 species
AGUGAACGCUGGCGGUAGGCCUAACACAUGCAAGUCGAACGGCAGCACAGUAAGAGCUUGCUCUUACGGGUGGCGAGUGGCGGACGGGUGAGGAAUACAUCGGAAUCUACUUUUUCGUGGGGGAUAACGUAGGGAAACUUACGCUAAUACCGCAUACGACCUACGGGUGAAAGCAGGGGAUCUUCGGACCUUGCGCGAUUGAAUGAGCCGAUGUCGGAUUAGCUAGUUGGCGGGGUAAAGGCCCACCAAGGCGACGAUCCGUAGCUGGUCUGAGAGGAUGAUCGGCCACACUGGAGCUGGGACACGGUCCAGACUCCUACGGGAGGCAGCAGUGGGCAAUGUUGGGCAAUGGGGGCAAGCCUGAUCCAGCCAUACCGCGUGGGUGGAGAAGGCGUUCGGUUUGUAAAGCCCUUUUGUUGGGAAAGAAAAGCAGCAGGUUAAUACCCAGCGGUUCUGACGGUACCCAAAAAAUAAGCACCGGCUAACUUCGUG